GUGCAUGCAUGCAUGUAAGUAUGUAUGUAUGGAUAUGGUUAUGCGUGUUUCUUAGGAGGAUGGGAAAUAUUGGUAUGUGUGUAUUCGUGUAGAAAUGGUUCACAUACACACACGCGCACAUAUCAGGUAUUCCCCCUCACGCAUCGUAUUCUCAAAUUGGGUUUAAACAGCGCCCCACCCUGCGCUGCGAAUAUGACGUCAUCUCGAGAUCU
rnacentral:lncRNA from 1 species